UACGUAGGGUGCGAGCGUUGUCCGGAAUCACUGGGCGUAAAGGGCGCGUAGGCGGCCUGGCAAGUCGAUGGUGAAAGCCCGAGGCUCAACUUCGGGUCGGCCACUGAUACUGCUGGGCUUGAGUCGACUAGAGGCAGAUGGAAUUCCGGGUGUAGCGGUGGAAUGCGUAGAGAUCCGGAAGAACACCGGUGGCGAAGGCGGUCUGCUGGGGUCGAACUGACGCUGAGGCGCGACAGCGUGGGGAGCAAACAGG
rnacentral:rRNA from 1 species